UUUUCUUUAGUCUCCUGAUAUUUCAUUUAUUUUUAAUCUUUUGAACUUAUAUUUUCACUUAAAUUUAUUUUGUAUAAUGUUAUUUUACUUAUCUGUGUGGUUAAUCGUGUCAUCUUAUACUUUUGAGUAAUAAUCUUAUCUUUAAGUGUGUGGAAGUAAGAGCACAUGGUGAUAAAUGUACAACGUGUGUAUUUUAGAAUGAAAAGGGCAUUUCCAUCUAAAGAGGCUGCUUAUUUGUUUCAUGUGUCAGAAAUAAAAAUGCUCCUGGAGAAGAAUCAAAGCCUGCUGUCCUGUAUCUGAUUCAGUAAAGUCACAACGCAGAGUCCAGUUAUUCCACCGGUGUCGCCGGCUGCAUGUAAAGUUUGGCGUCGCGAGUCACCGGUUACACCUCUGCAGGUAACAGUCACACACACAUUCAUAGAGGAAGCAGAUUCUUCUGACUAAUAGCUCACCAGCCUUCCUCCUUAUAUUUGCCUGUAUUACCAUUUCCUUUUUCCACUAUUUUUUACUCAUGUGAGCCCGGUCCUGCACAAGCCGUCACACCAAAGCCAGGUGCCAACACUGGAGUGUUUCUUUAAAUAACUAUAUAUAAAUAUAUAAAUGCUGUCGUUCACUUCGGUGAAUGUGUGAAACCUACAUUUACACUACAAAUUCACAGUAAUCCUGGUGUUUUAUUAUUAAUUGGGUGUGUUUGUGUGUUAGGAUAAGCCAGAGCUCGCUUUCCAGCAGUCUGACUUUGACCUUGAGCCAGUCUUAACCACAGUCGAGAAUUCCAGUGUGUCUCCUGUGAUUGUGGAGCAUCUGGCUUCAGCAGAAACACCAGCAGAUGAGAUCGAAGCGCAGGAAGCCGAGCCGCCGAAGAACGAACCCGAGCCCAGCUCUGAGGAUGAAAGCAACGAUGGGGUCCUUUCACCUGUCGAAGAGCCCAACAACAACACCAUGCACAGUGAGACCUACUUCUUCUGACUCGCACACUUCAUCAUUUUUUUCACUACUUUUCAUGUCUGCUUUUGCUCGUUCCUUCCUCAGAGUCAGAGAUGGAGAAUAAGAUUAUACAAUAUAGUAGAGACUUUCUUUUGAGCAUCCAGUUCAUGCCUGAUUGUAUGCAGAAGCCAGAGGGGCUUCCAUCAAUACCUGAUGUGGUGCUACACAAGCAACCGAAUGCAAUUUGGAGGCGCCGUCACCCUGCAAGUUCCUCUUGAAUGUGCCUAUGAAUGAAGAGGUGGAGUUGAAGAAGGCUGAGGAUGCCUGGAAGCCUUCCAUGAAAAGGAGGAAUUCCACAGAGGACCCCGAAACCCAGAAAACUGAGGAGCUUUUUCCGGACGGUCCGCGGUAUCCUUAACAAACUGACGCCAGAGAUGUUCAAUCAGCUGAUGAAGCAGGUGAAAGAGCUCCACAUCGACACAGAGGAGCGACUUAAGGGUGUCGUCGACCUGAUUUUUGAGAAAGCCAUUGAUGAGCCCAACUUCUCCGUGGGGUACGGGAUCAUGUGUAAAUCUCUGGCUGCGUUAAAUGUGCCCAUGGCCAAAAAACCCAAAAGCGAUGUGAAUUUUUGAAUGCUGCUGCUAAACCAGUGUCAGAAAGAGUUUGAGAAGGACAAAACGAGCAACGAUGUCCUCGAGAAAAAACAGCAGGAACUGGAAGCAGCUGUUUCAACCAGUAAUCGUGAGAGGCUUCAAGAUGAGCUGGAGGAGGCAAAAACAAAGCUCGCAGAAAAGCUGUUUAAGUUUCGGAUGUUUACUGAGUCCAUCAUUCAUAACUGCGUAGUAAAACUGCUGAAACAAAAUGACGAGGAAAGUCUUGAGUGCCUCUCUAUUCUCCUCACGA